GAGCGGAGACGGGGAGCGAAAAAUCCGGGAUCCGGCGAGUCCGGGGCGCGCAUGCGCGCCCGCCGCGCUCCAUCCCAAACACACACACAUUUCCCCCGGACUUGGAAAGUCACCCAAAGCCGCCCCAAGUGCAGGACCAACAGACUCCGCCGAUUGAAGACAAAGAUCUCUUCCCCUUGCAGCUGCCCAAUCUCUGCCCGCAAUCAUUAGCCCCUCCUUGCCAAGGGGAAAAAGAAAAACCCCAGCAGGUUGGAAUGGACUUCGGACCCCGGCCCUUCUGGAUGCAAGGAUGAAGUGAUUUCGCCAGCCCUGAACCAACCGAGCGGUAAAGGAGUGACCCCGUAAGAGUUUGGGACCAAAACGAGGAGA
rnacentral:lncRNA from 1 species